AGAGUUUGAUCAUGGCUCAGAUUGAACGCUGGCGGCAUGCUUUACACAUGCAAGUCGAACGGGGUGAGGGGGCAACCUCUCAUUCAGUGGCGAACGGGUGAGUAAUGCAUCGGAACGUGCCUCGUAGUGGGGGAUAACUCGGCGAAAGCCGUGCUAAUACCGCAUAUGCUCUACGGAGGAAAGUGGGGGACCGCAAGGCCUCACGCUAUGAGAGCGGCCGAUGUCCGAUUAGCUUGUUGGUGGGGUAAUGGCCUACCAAGGCGACGAUCGGUAGCUGGUCUGAGAGGAUGAUCAGCCACACUGGGACUGAGACACGGCCCAGACUCCUACGGGAGGCAGCAGUGGGGAAUUUUGGACAAUGGGGGCAACCCUGAUCCAGCCAUGCCGCGUGCGGGAAGAAGGCCUUCGGGUUGUAAACCGCUUUUAGUCGGGAAGAAAAGGCGCAGGACAACACCCUGCGUUUUUGACGGUACCGGCGGAAUAAGCACCGGCUAACUACGUGCCAGCAGCCGCGGUAAUACGUAGGGUGCGAGCGUUAAUCGGAAUUACUGGGCGUAAAGCGUGCGCAGGCGGUUUGCUGUGUCUGUCGUGAAAGCCCCGGGCUUAACCUGGGAAUGGCGAUGGAAACUGGCGAGCUGGAGUGCGGCAGAGGGGGGUGGAAUUCCGCGUAGCAGUGAAAUGCGUAGAGAUGCGGAGGAACACCGAUGGCGAAGGCAGCCCCCUGGGUCGACACUGACGCUCAGGCACGAAAGCGUGGGGAGCAAACAGGAUUAGAUACCCUAGUAGUCC
rnacentral:rRNA from 1 species